GUAAAGAAGCAUGUUUUUGCGUUUUGCCACAGUCCUGAAUCUGAACAACUUGCUGCGGAUAGUGUCAUCAGAAUACAGCCUCCGUAAAGUUCAAGUAGGAUUGCUCUUAUGCAAAAUAUAUUUUUCACUUUUAA